rnacentral:rRNA from 1 species
UGGGGAAUAUUGCACAAUGGGCGCAAGCCUGAUGCAGCCAUGCCGCGUGUGUGAAGAAGGCCUUCGGGUUGUAAAGUACUUUCAGCGGGGAGGAAGGGAGUAAAGUUAAUACCUUUGCUCAUUGACGUUACCCGCAGAAGAAGCACCGGCUAACUCCGUGCCAGCAGCCGCGGUAAUACGGAGGGUGCAAGCGUUAAUCGGAAUUACUGGGCGUAAAGCGCACGCAGGCGGUUUGUUAAGUCAGAUGUGAAAUCCCCGGGCUCAACCUGGGAAAUGCAUCUGAUACUUGUAAGCUUGAGUCUCGUAGAGGGAGGUAGAAAUCCAGGUGUAGCGGUGAAAUGCGUAGAGAUCUGGAGGAAUACCGGUGGCGAAGGCGGCCCCCUGGACGAAGACUGACGCUCAGGUGCGAAAGCGUGGGGAGCAAACAGG